UCUUAGACAUCGAUACAAUCCUCCAGAAUGCCAGUUGUCUUGCCUGCUUGUCACAGAGUACUCAAGGAGGUUUGUAGAAGGUUGCCGGGUUUUUCACCCGCUGAAGUGUUGGAUUUUGGUGCUGGCAUGGGUUUGGCUUUCUGGGCACUAUGAGAAGUCUGGCCGAAUUCCUUGGAGAAAGUUAACUUAGUAGAGUCAUCACAAUCAAUGCAGCGUGCAGGCCAGAGCCUUAUACAAGGUACACCUUUUGUGGGCUGGCAACAAUGAUUCUGAUCAAUGAGGUCAAUUGUUUGGACUUGCCUAGACUAAUUGAUUGGUUGGUAUUUCGACAAGGGAAGGAAUGUGGAUUUCAGGGGAGGACUAAUAAGUUAGUUGAUGGUUGCUACUCUUUCUGGCAGGGAAGUGCAUUUGCAUUAUUACAAAGAAUACCUUCAGUUAGUGAGGAGCAAAUUGUGCUACUGGAUGUGGGACACUGCAAUUUGGAUACCUCACACACUUCUACAACAUCUCGUAUAUCUGAAGUGGACAACAGUUCUGAAGGUACUUCAUCUCAGGUUGAUGACACCAGAGG